rnacentral:rRNA from 1 species
GGCGUGCUUAACACAUGCAAGUCGAACGGCAAGGCCCUUCUUUUGUGGGGUGCCCGAGUGGCGAACGGGUGAGUAACACGUGAGUAACCUGCCCUUGACUUUGGGAUAACUUCAGGAAACUGGGGCUAAUACCGGAUAGGAGCUCCUGCUGCAUGGUGGGGGUUGGAAAGUUUCGGCGGUUGGGGAUGGACUCGCGGCUUAUCAGCUUGUUGGUGGGGUAGUGGCUUACCAAGGCUUUGACGGGUAGCCGGCCUGAGAGGGUGACCGGCCACAUUGGGACUGAGAUACGGCCCAGACUCCUACGGGAGGCAGCAGUGGGGAAUAUUGCACAAUGGGCGGAAGCCUGAUGCAGCAACGCCGCGUGCGGGAUGACGGCCUUCGGGCUGUAAACCGCUUUCGCCUGUGACGAAGCGUGAGUGACGGUAAUGGGUAAAGAAGCACCGGCUAACUACGUGCCAGCAGCCGCGGUGAUACGUAGGGUGCGAGCGUUGUCCGGAUUUAUUGGGCGUAAAGGGCUCGUAGGUGGUUGAUCGCGUCGGAAGUGUAAUCUUGGGGCUUAACCCUGAGCGUGCUUUCGAUACGGGUUGACUUGAGGAAGGUAGGGGAGAAUGGAAUUCCUGGUGGAGCGGUGGAAUGCGCAGAUAUCAGGAGGAACACCAGUGGCGAAGGCGGUUCUCUGGGCCUUUCCUGACGCUGAGGAGCGGAAGCGUGGGGAGCGAACAGGCUUAGAUACCCUGGUAGUCCACGCUGUAAACGGUGGGUACUAGGUGUGGGGUCCAUUCCACGGGUUCCGUGCCGUAGCUAACGCUUUAAGUACCCCGCCUGGGGAGUACGGCCGCAAGGCUAAAACUCAAAGGAAUUGACGGGGCCCCGCACAAGCGGCGGAGCAUGCGGAUUAAUUCGAUGCAACGCGUAGAACCUUACCUGGGUUUGACAUGGAUCGGGAGUGCUCAGAGAUGGGUGUGCCUCUUUUGGGGUCGGUUCACAGGUGGUGCAUGCCUGUCGUCAGCUCGUGUCGUGAGAUGUUGGGUUAAGUCCCGCAACGAGCGCAACCCUUGUUCACUGUUGCCAGCACGUUAUGGUGGGGACUCAGUGGAGACCGCCGGGGUCGACUCGGAGGAAGGUGGGGAUGACGUCAAGUCCUCAUGCCCCUUAUGUCCAGGGCUUCACGCAUGCUACAAUGGCUGGUACAGAGAGUGGCGAGCCUGUGAUGGUGAGCGAAUCUCGGAAAGCCGGUCUCAGUUCGGAUUGGGGUCUGCAACUCGACCUCAUGAAGUCGGAGUCGCUAGUAAUCGCAGAUCAGCAACGCUGCGGUGAAUACGUUCCCGGGGCUUGUACACACCGCCCGUCAAGUCAUGAAAGUUGGUAACACCCGAAGCCGGUGGCCUAACCGUUGUGGGGGAGCCGUCGAAGGUGGGACUGGUGAUUAGGACUAAGU